rnacentral:rRNA from 1 species
CCUACGAGUGUCAGCAGUGAGGAAUAUUGGUCAAUGGGCGGGAGCCUGAACCAGCCAAGUCGCGUGAGGGAAGACGGUCCUAUGGAUUGUAAACCUCUUUAGGCGGGGAGCAAUGCCGGGCACGUGUGCCCGGAGGGAGAGUACCCGCAGAAUAAGCAUCGGCUAACUCCGUGCCAGCAGCCGCGGUAAUACGGAGGAUGCGAGCGUUACCCGGAUUUAUGGGGUUUAAAGGGUGCGUAGGCGGAUUUUGCAGUCAGCGGUAAAAUGUCCGGGCUCAACCCGGGCCGGCCGUUGAAACUGGGGAUCUUGAGUGGGCGAGAAGUAUGCGGAAUGCGUGGUGUAGCGGUGAAAUGCAUAGAUAUCACGCAGAACUCCGAUUGCGAAGGCAGCAUACCGGCGCCCGACUGACGCUGAGGCACGAAAGCGUGGGGAUCGAACAGGAUUAGAUACCCUGGUAGUC